AUGGCUAUAUCACAUUGAAACACAAGUUCUUGUACGAUCACCGGAGUUAAGCAAUGUUGAGUCUGGCCAGUACCUAGAUGGAUAGCCACUUAGGAAUACCAAGUGCUGUAAG